rnacentral:rRNA from 1 species
CAGCCGCCACGGUAAUACAGAGGGUGCUAGCGUUAAUCGGAUUUACUGGGCGUAAAGGGCGCGUAGGCGGCCAUUCAAGUUAGAUGUGAAAGCCCUGGGCUCAACCUAGGAAUUGCAUUUGAUACUGUUUGGCUUGAGUUCGGGAGAGGUGAGUGGAAUUCCCAGUGUAGAGGUGAAAUUCGUAGAUAUUGGGAAGAACACCAGUGGCGAAGGCGGCUCACUGGACCGACACUGACGCUGAGGCGCGAAAGCGUGGGGAGCAAACAGGAUUAGAUACCCCGGUAGUCCCUGUCUCUUAUAC